GGAAAUUCAUUCGUUUCCAAGGCAUCGGCUUCAACACAGCUCCAGCCGGGUAGCUGGAGUCGGGACGCUGGAAAGCGACUGGGAGAAGAGGGUACCCGCCGACGGCGGUCGCCGCCACAGCGAGUCGCGGGGAGUAGCAGCCGAAGACGGCGGCCGCCGCACCAGCCAUCGCGUGUGGAGGAUAAAAGGCCACCACGGCGACCAGUCCAGGGAAAGGGUUAGUCGUAGAGAAGACAGUGACCACCGCUGCAGGGUCUCGACGGGAAGAGUAAGUGAAGAUGUCGGCUUCUCCCGCAAUGAUUCGAGAAGAGUCAGUGAAGACCUGGGUCACCGCCGCAGUGUCUCUCAGGAGAGAGUCAGGAGAGGUGGUAGCCACCGUCCCAGCAACUCUUGGGAGAGAGUAAGGGGAGACCGCAGCAGCGACGUGAGUUUAAGUGAAGUCGGAAGCCACCCCACUAGUGACUCUGGGGGAACCGUCAGAGAAGACCGCGAACUCUGCCUCAGUGGGACUUGGGAGGUGAUCAGGGAGGUCCGGGGCCCCCGAACCAGCGACUCCGGGGAGAGAGGCAGUGACGACCGGAGCCAUUGCCUCAGCGGCUCCUGGGACGGCGGGAGUGUGGAUGGCGGUCGCAGCCUCAGCAGUUCCUGGGAAGGGGUAAGUGAAGACCGCGGCUACGUGGCCAGCGAAUCCUCUGCGCUAAGCGUCCGCGAAGACGCCAACCACCGCCGCUUCUGGGACAGAGAAAGUGAAGACGAAGGUUCCCGCUGCCUGGGCACCUGGGAGGGAUCGACGCAGGACGGCGGCCCCGGGCCUACAGACGAAGAGGAAGACAGCCGCUGCUGCAGUGGUUCGUGGGUCACAGCAAGCGAAGACCGCCGCAGCAGUAGAGGCCUGGACUCAACUCCUCCCCGGAGUCCAGGGGAUCACACCAUGCCUGGGGUGUCCGAUUCAGGCCCCUCCACCUCCUCCACGGAAACUGCGACCCCAUGUGCCAGGAAGAAGGUGCAUUUUGGUAGUAUACAUGAUGCAGUCCGAGCUGGAGAUGUAAAGCAGCUUUCAGAAAUAGUAGAACGUGGUGCCAGCAUUAAUGAAGUUGAUGUUCUUCAUAAAUUUACCCCUUUACAUUGGGCUGCGCAUUCUGGAAGUUUGGAGUGUCUUCAUUGGCUCCUCUGGCAUGGGGCUGAUAUCUCACAAGUAACCGGGAGGGGUUGGACAGCAGCUCACAUAGCCGCAAUCAGGGGACAGGAUGCUUGUAUGCAGGCUCUUCUAAUCAGUGGAGCAAAUCUGGCAGCUCAAGAUGAUCGUGGAUGCACUCCUUUACACCUUGCUGCAACACACGGACAUUCUUUCACUUUACAAAUAAUGCUCCGAAGUGGAGUGGAUCCCAGCAUGACUGAUAAGAGAGAAUGGAAACCUGUGCAUUAUGCAGCUUUUCACGGGCGACUUGGCUGUUUGCAACUUCUAGUUAAAUGGGGGUGUAGCAUCGAAGAUGUGGACUGCAAUGGAAACCUUCCAGUUCACUUAGCAGCCAUGGAAGGCCACCUUCACUGUUUUAAAUUCCUCCUCAGUAGGAUGAGCAGUGCCUCCCAAGCUUUAAAAGCCUUCAAUGAUAAUGGAGAAAAUGUGCUAGACCUGGCCCAGAGGUUCUUUAAGCAGAACAUUUUACAGUUUAUCCAGGGGGCUGAGUACGAAGGAAAUGAUCCGAAAGAUCAGGAAACUUUAGCGUUUCCAGGUCAUGUGGCUGCUUUUAAGGGUGAUUUGGAAAUGCUUAAAAAAUUAAUACAAGAUGGAGUAAUCAAUAUUAAUGAACGUGAUAAUAAUGGAUCUACUCUUAUGCAUAAAGCUGCUGGACAAGGUCAUAUAGAGUGUUUGCAGUGGCUAAUUAAAAUGGGAGCAGACAGUAAUAUUACCAACAAAGCAGGGGAGAAACCCAGUGAUGUGGCUAAGAGGUUUGCCCAUUUAGCUGCAGUAAAACUAUUGGAAGGACUACAGAAAUAUGAGGUAGAUGAUAAUGAAAUUGAUGAAAAUGAUAUUAAGUUUUUUAUAAGACAUGGUGUUGAGGGAAGCACUGAUGCCAAGGAUGAUUUAGGACUCAGUGAGUCGGAUAAAACAGAUGCCAGAGUGAGAGCUUAUAAGAAAAUCAUAGAAUUGAGACACCUCCUGGAAAUUGCUGAGAGCAACUAUAAACACUUGGGAGGAAUAACAGAAGAAGAUCUAAAGCAGAAGAAAGAACGGCUUGAGUCUGAAAAGACUAUCAAAGAACUGCAGGGCCAGCUGGAGUAUGAACGGCUACGUAGAGAAAAAUUAGAAUGUCAGCUGGAUGAGUAUCGAGCAGAGGUGGAUCAACUCAGGGAAAUGCUGGAAAAAAUUCAAGCCCCCAACUUUGCAGCUGUGGUUGGUAUCCUUCAUGACACAUUUGUCUUAAGAAGUAGUAUACAAAAGUAGCUAGGAGUAUAAACUUCCGAUGGGGCUAUGUGGGUUUGAAUACUGGCUACAACCCAUUUUGACCUGGACGAGUCAUUUAACUUUUCUAUGCCUUAGAUAUAAACUGGAGAUAAUAAUUUUGAGUGUUGUAAGGAUUAAAAGCAUGCAUGUGUGUGUAUAUUACUCUAUAAACUUUAUACACAUACACACACACAUCUAUCUAUCAGCUAUAAUUGCAGCCUGGCUCUUAAAUGUACAGUAAGGUUUUUUUUUUCUUUUUUUGACCACACCCAUGGCAUAUGGAAGUUGCUGGGCCAGGGACUGAACCCGAGCCACAGCAGUGACCUGAGGUGAUGCAGUGACAAAGCCAGAUCUUUUAACUGCUAGGCUAUCAAGGAACAACUACAGUACGUUUUUUGCUUAUUUUUUUAUUAUAUAAGGAAAAAAACCUUUUCUUUAAACUCAGUGAAUUUUAUUACAUUCAUAAUUGUUCAGCCAUCAUCACGACCCAAUUUUAUAACAUUUCCAUCCCCAGCCCAUCCUUACCCUCAUCCUGUCUCCUUGGGUAACAAUAAGUUUUUCAAAAUCUGUGAGUCAGUUUCUGUUCUGCAAAUAAGUUCAUUGUAUCUGUCUUUAGAUUCUACUUAUAAAUGAUGGCAUAUGAUCUUUGGGUCUCACUGUCUAACUUCACUUAGCAUGAUAUUUCUAGGUCCAUCCAUGUUGCUGCAGAUGUCAUUAUUUCAUUCCUUCUUAUGGCUGAGUAAUAUUCCAUAGUGUACAUGUACCACAUCUUUAUCCACUCCUCUGUUGAUGGACAUUUAGGUUGCUUCCAUGUCUUGGCUGUUGUAUAUAGUGCUGCAAUGAACAUUGGGGUACAUGUAUCUUUUCGAGUCAUGGUUUAAGGUGGUACUUCAUAGUCUCUUUAAUUUGCAUUUUUCUAAUUAGUGAUGUUGAACAUCUUUUCAUGUCUUUUUUGGACAUCUGUAUGUCUCCUUUGGAGAACUGUCUGUUUAGAUCUGCCCAUUUUUUGAUGGGGUUGUUCGUUUUUUUUUUUUUUUUUUGGUAUUGAGCUGCAAGAGGUAUUAAUAUAUUUUGGAGAUUAAUCCUUCGUUGGAUGCUUCAUUUGCAAAAAUUUUGAUUUUAUGGGUUGUCUUUUUGUUUUGUUUAGGGUUCCCUUUGUUGUGCAAAAACUUUUAAGUUUAAUUAGUUCUCUUUAUUUUUGUUUUUAUUGUCAUUACUCUAGGAGGUGGAUCUGCGAAGAUAUUGCUGUGGUUUAUGUCCAAGUGUUCAGCCUGUGUUUUCUAGUAACAGGUCUUAUAUUUAGGUCUUUAAUCCAUUUUGAGUUUAUUUUUGUGCAUGGUGUUAGGGAGUGUUCUAAUCUCAUUCGUUUACAUGUAGCUGUCCAGUUUUCCCAGCACCACUUAGUGAAGGGACUGUCUUUUCUCCAUUGUACAUUCUUGCCUCUUCUAUGAAAAAAAUUUUUAUAAGCAGAGUCAUCAAUAAGAAUUCUAAGACAACUGCAGAGGAUGUAUAUUUUAACAUCCUAAAUAUCCAAAAUAAACUGCUGUAAAAAGAAAGAGAUAUGAAAAACGCAGAGAACAGACGCACAAAAGCAUCUGGAGGAUAGAGAGUGAAAGUGACAGCAAGAAACCCCCAGUGGUGCUUGUCUUUCAGGCCAUCUAGUCAGAGUAGAGAAGGAAGAAAGUGUGUCAGGGAGGCUUUGGCCCUCAUGUUCCUCUGCUAGUAAGAUGUGGCCCUUGUGGACAGCUGUGUGACAUAGUGUGGGAGCUCACGUACAUUUCAUGUUUCCCUUCCAUAGGGAAAUUUUUCUUUAGUCCUUGUGGGCGAGUUAACUUUGCUUUAGAUCUGUAUCACCUCAAACAUGAUCUAUAAUAACUUCGUAGCUCCUUUUAAUGUUGUACAAACUAACCACUAGUCUCUUUAUUAACUACUUUAAAAACAUUACAAUGAUACAUGUGCUUGUUGUAAAGUGUUAAAAACAGGGCAGAUGCUCCUCCACAUACAGAGUUCUACUCUCUAGAGGAAGCUACUGGUAACAGUUUGGUGUGUCUCAUAUUAGACAACAUUCUGUUCAUCUGCAGUGACAUAUGUGUAUUUCUAUAUGCAAAUUCAAACCCAUUCUCUGGGUUUUGGUAUCUCACCAGUGCUUACUUUUCCAAGGGACAUCAUGAAGCAUAAUAAUUAAUCCAUUCUCUCUACUUUUGCAGUGAUCCAUCUGAUACCAGUUUAGCCCCGAGGACACUUAGGUGUGGAGAAGCUAGCAGGUGCAGUCUGGUGGUGUUGGCUAGCAGACACACACCUUUUAUAAACCAUGGCUGGCAGUUCAAACCGCUCCCCCUCCCCCUUGUGGCAGGAACUCUGCUAGCUCGGCUCCUCAGAGGCAGGAAGCUAUGUUCUUCACCAGCUGCCUAGAUUAUUUGGAGAUCACGAGCUGCACACCUUUUGAGUUAAUCCAAAUUGAUUUUCUACAUAGAAAAUUUUGGUUUUUAGCUAUUUAAAAAUACUCUUUUCUUGCCUCAAAGCGUUUUUGUUCCCAGGGUUGAGUUCCAUGUCACACUCUAGAGCACUUCUCCCUAAAACCUUGCUCUCUAACCUAGGUUCUCAGCGCUGUCCCUGUCCCCUGGGCAGGCCUGCUGUAGGUUAUACCAGUUUUUGUAAAAGAGCAAAUGGCACUGACUUGUCAUGCCAGCUGUUUAUUUUCUCUUCUCCAAAAGUCUCUGGGUCUCAAUUUCCUCAUCUUUAAAAUGGAGAUAACACCUAUCUCAUGGGAUUGGAUUGCUAUUAGAUGAAAUACAAUGUAGAAAUGCUGAGGUGGUUUCUGUUUCAUAGUAUUUGUAGUAUAUUCUCCCCUCCUCAUAUCCUUUUGUCGUUUUUCUUCCUUUCUGUUUUCUACAUUUGAGUUGUAUAAACACAGUCAGUAGAUAAAUAAAUGUGUAGAGCCCUAUGCAUCUGACAGUAGGAGGAAUUAAUUUAUUUUGGAGUAUAAAAUGAACUUUUGAUUCAAUGCAUAUUUAUAUUGUCUGCAAGAGAGUUCUGACUAAAUCUUUCUCCUGCCACCUCCUGGUAAGGAGCUAUGAUUGCAAUGUAUCUUUAAGACUUUUUACCCUGUAAAAGAAUCUGUAGUAGUGUAAUUUUUAGUGAGAAAAAAAAAAUUCUAGGAUAGUUUGAUAUAAUGCACUUAAAUAGUUUAAUAAUAGGAACUGGUUUUGAUAAUAACUAUUUCUAUAGUGCCUUCUCAAAACAUAGUGUUAUCUCAGCCUGCAUUAACCUACCUCAGCAGCCUUACUUUCUUCUAUUCUCCUGCAUGUAGCCUACCUUUUGUGAUCUUGCCCCACACUUUCCCACCCCCAAGCCUUUGUUCAUUUUUUCUGUAUACCUUGAAGGCUGUCAAUUCUGCUUCUCAAAAUAACUUUGGGAACCAUCUUGUUUGUCAACCUUGUCCUAACCCCUCUGGCCACAUACUUCUCCUUUCAGCAAGCACUUUGUACCUCUCUUAGGAUACCUCAUAAUUUGUAUUAGUUUGAUUGGCUACUUUACCCACAGCACUGAAAAUGCAAGUUCUGUGAGAUCAUCUAACUUGCCUCGAGGAAGAACAUCAUCAUCGACAACAGUUACUGAGUAUCUGUUAUGUGUUGGGUUCAGUACCAAGAACUUUAUAUCUGGCAGAUGUUAUUAUCUUAGUUGUACAAAUAAGAAGCCAAAUCUCAGAGAAAAUAAGGAAUUUCUGUAAAGUCACACAGCUUGCUGGAGGGGUAGUCAUGAUUUGAAUUUAACUGCUUAACCCCAAGUCCAUGCUUUUUUUUGGGGGGGGGGCACUUCCACAGCAUGUGAAAGUUCUUGGGCCAGAGACUGAACUUGCAUCACAGCAGCAACCCAGGCUGCUGCAGUGAUAACACUGGAUCCUUGCGAGAACUUUCAAGUGGAACUCUUCUUCAUCACUGGUGGUAGUGUAAAUUGAUCUUAAAUCACUUUGGAAAAUUGUUUGGUCAUAUCUGUUGAAGCUGAAUGCAUACAUACCUCUGACUCAAUUCCCACUGUGGAAUAAAUACAUGUCUCUUGAUGUACAGACGGGCACCAAAAGACAUGUACAAGAAUGUUAAUAUAAGCACUAUUAUAAAUACCUCCCAAACUAGAAAAAACCCCACAAAUAUUCCAUCGACAGUAAGAGUAAAUACAUUUUGGUAUAAUCAUACAAUGGAAUGUUAUAAAGCAUGGAACUGUAUGGAUUACUGCCUUACACAUCAGUGAGGAUCAAUUUCACAAACAUAAUGCUGAACAAAAGAAAAUUAGACAAUAAUACUGUGGAAUUCCCAUCAUGGCUCAGUGGAAACAAAUGUGCCUAGCAUCCAUGAGGAUGCAAGUUCAAUCCCUGGCCUUGUUCAGUGGGUUAAGGAUCUGGUGUAGCCGUGAGCUGUGGUGUAGUUGACAGAUGCAGCUUGGAUCUGGCAUUGCUGUGGCUGUGGUGUAGGCCAGUGGCUACAGUUCCGAUUUGACCCGUAGCCUGGGAAUGUCCAUAUGCAGAUGCAGCUCUAAAAAAACCAAAAAUAGUACUGUAUAAUGUCAUGCAGUCCCAAAAUAGGUAAAAUAAAUAAAUCAAGGUAAUGGAGGCAAAUGGUUGCUUCUGGGAUAUGGGUAAUGUUCAAUUUUUAUUUACUUAUUUAUUUUUUGGGGCCGCUCCCGCGGCAUGUGGACAUUCCCAGGCUAGGGGUCUAAUCGGAGCUACAGCUGCCAGCCACAGCCACAGCAACGCCCAGAUCUGAGCCGCUUCUGCAGUCUACACCAUAGCUCACGGCAACGGCGGAUGGUUAACCCACUGAGGCCAGAGAUCAAACCCGCAACCUCAUGGUUCCUAGACGUAUUUGUUUCCGUUGCGCCAUGAUGGGAACUCCUCAAUUUCUUGAUCUCAGUUUUGGUCACUUUGGGUAUUUUCACUUUGUAAAAAUUCAUCACACUGUACACUUUUUGGAGUGUUCUUUGUAUAUUGUACUUAACCUGUGGUGUAGGUUGCAGACGUGGCUCAGAUCCUGAGUUGCUGUGGCUGUGGUAUAGGAUGGCAGCUGCAGCUCCAAUUUGACCUCUAGCCCAGCAUCUUCCAUAUACUGCAAGUAUGGCCCUAAAAGAAAAAAAAAAAAAAUUAAACUAGAUGGAAACUAUAAUAGCUUUGUCAGAGAUACCUGUCCACAGAUUGAGGCAGCACUGAACUCCUCAUAACUUCUACCUCUAAAACCAGUAUCAUGCGUGAAGUCUCUGGUGUUAAGCUUUGGGUCAUGUUUGCCAAUCAAGAAUGGCCAACCCAGAAGUGGUAAUAUCCCAUAAAUCUUUAACUUACCCUUGUUUUCUACCUAUACAGACAUGGAACUGGGCUGAUAGUCUCUACCGGGCUUCUCUGUCCUCUGACAGCAUAGCCUCUGAGCCUGCAAUGGUCCUUGGAGCAGUCUGAGAGCUUAUGUGAAUUUAUCCAAGCUAAGCUGUUAGUCUAGGGAAAUUCCCUAAGUUUGUGAUUUCCCUCUUCUUGUUCUUUUUUUUUUUUUUUAAAUCGGUUAUACUGUUUUGACACAGUUAAGAGACUGUUCUUGUAAUCACGAAGGUGGGAUUUAUCUCCUUUUAGUUGCAUAUGCUUUCCAGAACUUGUCAGUUUGCAUGGAAUUUUUUAAAAAAACAAUUCCAUAUACCCAGGCAAUAAUUUUAGACACAUAAUCUCUUUCAGCAGUUUCAUAAACAGUAUUAUUAAUCUGUCUAACACAUCUGUAAAUUCCUUCAGAUGGAAACUAAUAUAUAUUUAAAAUACAUUGACUUGGCACACAGGGUUAUUGUUUAACACUUAGAAUUGCUUCUGGUGCCUAAGAACCAUGAUUCAUGCAUUAAGUAUGUCAGUAUUGCAGUAUCUCCAUCCUCUUUUCCCCAGUUUGGUAAAAACACAUAUUAGGGAGAAAUGUGUUUCUGGCUAUAAUUUAUAGUGAGGAAAUGAGUAAUCUUGAAGAGUGUUCCCCAAAGGCAAAAAUGUCUAGAAUUUGGAAGUUUGGAACUUUUAGUAAACACUUACUGGAGGCCUAUCAAGUGCCAAGCACAUAUUUUUAACUAGUUUACAGUAAGGCUUGGUUUGAUAGAACAAGUUUCCUAUUUGGUGCUAAUAGAGGCUUUGGUAUUCCACCAUUUCUAGAAUAUUUGGGAUUUUUAACCCCCCCCCCCCAAAAAAAACCCUACAUGGGAGUUAGCAUGUAUGAAAAGCAAAGGGAAAAUAUUACUGUUUCUGAAAGUCUUGUAAUGCUUUUAAGCACUAGAAAAUUGGCUAUCUCUGACAAGUAGCUUUCUCUCUUGCUAAUUUUGUUCUUUCUCUAGCUCCAUUCUAGUUGGACAGGGUUAAACUCCUGCCCUACCUCAGGGUCUUUCUUCUGGGGACACCUUUACAUUCAUCCCCUAAAGAUCUUGAGGACCUCCUGAGACCUGGGGGGUGAACUGAGCACUUUUAUACCUGCUACCCCAGCACUCCAUUCUCCGGAGUGGGAACCAGAUCUCCUGUCUUCUGUGUACUACAGCAUGGUAUACACAGUGUACAGGACUCUCAGGAACUGAAGGAGCCAGCACAGCUUUGGCUGGAAGACAGGACUAAGGAAUGGUUUUAAAACGAAACCUUUGGUGUCAGACAAAAUCCAUUUAAUGCUGUGACCUGGGAGAAGGUUGUUUAACCUCCUUGACUUCUGUUCUUGCAUCUCUAAAAUGUUGGUAACAUGACUGAUUUCACCUUGUUACAUAUGUAACGUGUGAAAUAUAGUGCCAUCGAAUGCUAAGCCCAAUAAAAGGUUUGUUGUUACUGGUCCUCAGACUGGUUGGCAACCUUUUUCAAAGGAAGGGACCAUUAUAUUACCUUAGGUCUUCAGGGCCCGGCCACGAGGAGGGAGGGCUAGCAGAUUCUCUAUCUGUUCCUCAAGUUUGCAGCUAAGUGGGGGAGGGAACAGUCAUGUGGUUGUUUUCCCAGGUGGUGUUGGAAUAAUGGGAGCUAGCUUCUACGUUUCUACACUACUGUAUGAGCUAAGCCGACUGACCUCAUUGGCAGAGGUGUAGGCGGGAGCAUUUUGGGGAAUGCUAAAUCCAGCCGUGGGCUCUCCUGAUGGACAGGUGCCUUGUGAUGUUCCUCAAACUCCUGCAUUCAGAUCUGUCCUGCCCAACUGGGUGCAGAGCAUUUUUUGACCAGAAGAAUUCAAAGGUGGUUGACAUCUAGUGAGUAUCGACUGUUUCUAGUGUUCUCUUGCUCCUUCCCAUAGCAUUUCUGUAAUGAAUCUUCUGUGCUGAGAAUACCAGAACAGAUGAGAAAUACUCAGAAACAGGUAGCAGGGCAAAGUGGAACAUGAGACAGGAGCAGUCGAGGGAUGUGUGAACAGAAGAGGAAGUGCAGGACCCAGGAAAUCUGAUUCCUAGCACAGUGGAGCUGCAGAGGAUCCAGAGGAUGGCAUGCUAAUGCUGUGUUAUUUUCUUUGGUUAUAUGUUGUGAAACGUUGGUCUAACAUAGAAGCAGAAAUAGUAAGGUGUUCUGUGUGUUGGAUACAUGAGGUAGAGGUGGGAGUGGGUGAUCUCUCAGGGUGCCUCCCAGGCUGAUGCGUCAGCACAGUGUGAUGCCCGAGCACUUCAGACAUAAGCAUUGAUUCACACAAAAUCCUAAAAGAGUUACAAGCCAAGAGUUGAAAGUAUUAGCAUGGUUAAUUUUUUCCUUUUGGAACAGACAAUGUAGGAAGAUGAAGAUGUGUCUAGCAUGGAAAUCUUAUUUGGCUCUUUUUUCCUCUGUAGGAAGAUGACUCUUCUUGUGAGUCAAGCAAAGAGAAGAGGCGAGUGAAGAAAAAGGUGUCUUCUGGGGGAGUUUUUGUGAAAAGAAUAGUUUGCAUCUGCUAAUUCCAAACUCAACCCAUCCCAUCUCCUUUCUGCUCCGGCAACCACAAGUCUGUUUUCUAUGUCUAGAAGUCUACUUCUGAUUUGUAGGUAAGUUCAUUUGUGUCAUAUUUUAGAUUCCACAUGUAGGUGAUAUUGUAUAUUUGUCUUUCUCUUUCUGACUUACUUAGUAUAAUCUCUAGGUCCAUCAUGUUGUUGCAAAUGGCAAUUAUUUCAUUCUUUUCCAGGGUCGAGUAGUCAUUCCAUUGCGCAUAUAUACCACCUCUCCCCCCACCCCUUUUUUUUUUUUUUGGCCAUGGCCAUUGCAUAUGAAAGUUCCUGGGCCAGAAAUCAAACCUGUGCCACAGCAACAGCUGGAGUUGCUGCAGCUGACACUGCUGGAUCCUUAACCGCUAUGCCACAUGGCAACUCCUGUUUCAUUCUUCUGUGUACACCCAUCUUCUUAAUCCAUCCGUUGAUGGACAUCUAGGUUGUUUCCAUGUCUUGGCUGUUGUGAACAGCAUUGCUAUGAACACUGAGUGCGAGUGUCUUUUGGAAUUACAGUUUUGUCCAGACAUGUGUCGGGGGUAGGACUGCUGAAUCAUAUGACAACUCUGUUUUUAGUUUUUCUGAGGAACUUCCAUACUGUUUUCUAUAGUGGCUGCACCAGUUUACACCCCACCAAGACUACAGAAAAGUUGUUCCCUUUUUCUCUGCACCCUCUCCAGCACUUUUUUUUGUAGAUUUUUUUGAUGAUGGUCAUUCUGAUUGGUGUGAGGUGAUACCUCAUGUAGUUUUGAUUUGUAUUUCUCUAACAAUUAGCAAUGUUGAGUGUCUUUUCAUGUGCCUGUUGGCCAUCUGUACGUCAAAUUACUUGAUUUUUAAAAAGCAUCUGAACUCGGGAGAAAAAGACCACUAAGUUUUAGAAAAGGACAACUUUACAAUAACAACAAGAUAGCUCACUAAGGAAAGUUCAUAUAGAAUGGAAAUCAGCUGUUGAAGAUUUUUUUAAAAAACCCCAUAAUGUGUUUGCUGAAAAUACACAUUUAAAUAAUCUGUUUUAGAAAUCAACCAGUGUUCUGUCUUGCAAGCUUUAUAAGAAAGGAAUAAUAGGACAGGCUGAAAAACAUGUGGCUUUAUUCUUUUUCCCCUGUGACUUUGCUGAUCAAAACCCAACCAUGGCUUUCAUUUCAGUUCUGCCUUCAAUUCCGUCACUUUUUUCACUCCACCUAUUCCUUUCUUGAGCUAGCAAGUGAGUGGCUCUCUUGGGGCACAAGUCUAGACCCUGCCUCCUCCUUCAAGAUUUGAUUACUGGCUUUGGGCUUGCUUCACUGGCAACAGCCUUCUCACCACACACCAGACUGCCCCUCUUUAGACCCUGGCAGGUGUCUCACAUGGACGCUAAAGGCCAUUUUGGUCCAGUAUCAUUAGGACCAGUUUGCCCUGACAUGAGUGCAUGUGAUGGUUAAGACCAGCUCAGCCUGGUCUGGAGCCUAUAAGCAAGUGUUCGUAUCCUUUUGGUAACCUUUAUAGUCAUAUUGUCAGCUUUUCUGUGGUUUCCCAUAGGCUUUCAAUCUGUAGUAAAAGUAGUUGUCAAGAUCUACUGGGCACUUACUAUGUGUGAUCUGUGCCAAGCCCUUUACAUGUAUUAUUGCUUAAUUCUCCCCAUGGCUCUAUGACAGGUAUGCUAGUCAAUAUGUGGAGAUUAAGUAAUUUGCCAAGAGUCCCUCAGCAAUGUGGAGCUAGGAUCCUAACUUUGGGAGGGAAAUUUCAGAGUCUGCAUUCUUCUUGGAAUUCCCAAAUCCAGUAUUUCUCUCAGCUUCUGGAACUACACACAGCCUUAUUUUUUCCUUCUAGCCUGGGGACCUUAAAGUAAUCCCAACCCUGGAAAUAGUUUGUUGUACUUGCUCCAGUUUUAUCAAGGCCGUAUCUCUAGUCUCUGUCUGUACCAGUGAGGUAGGAAAUACCAGAAGAGUGCUGUAAUAGAAGCAGGCGCCCUGUGGCAGAGUUCCCUGGCUGUCUCCCAAUAGCUCUUCUCCCUCUUUUCCAGAGUAUUAGUAUGUACCUGGCUUGUGGGUGCUCAGGAUAAGGACUAGGUUCCCAGUCUCCUUUGCACGUAACAAACCAAGUUGUGGCCCACAGAAUGUGAGCAAAAAUGGUGUGUAUAAACUUGGUGUCAUGUCCCUAAAGGGAAAGGGCUUUCCCCACAUCUUGCCCUUUUCUUCUGAAAUGAGUCACUGAACCUUGUGAAUGAGGGCAUCACCAUAAAUGGUGGAGCAGUAAGAAUAAAAAGGAGCCUGGACCCAUGAAAAGAUGCUCAACAUUGCUAAUUACUAGAGAAAUGCAAGUCAAAACUACACUGAGAUACCACCUCACACCAGUCAGAAUUGGCCAUCAUGAAAAAGUCAUAACAAAUGCUGGAGACGGUGUGAAGAAAAGGGAACAACCUUCCUACAUGCUUGGUGGGAAUAUAAACUGGUGCAGCCACUAUGAAAUACAGUAUGGAGGCACCUCGAAAAACUAAAAAGAGUUACCAUAUGGUCCAGCCAUCCCACUCCAAGGCAUGUAUCUGGAAAAGACGAAAGCUCUGAUUAAAAAGACAAAUGCACACAAUGUUCAUAGCACCACUAAUUACAAUAGCCAAGACAUGGAAGCAACCUAAGUGUCUAUCAACAGAUGAAUAAAUAAAGAAGAUGUGGUAUAUAUACAAUCGAAUACGACCCAGCCAUAAAAAGAAUGAAAUGAUGCCAUUUGCAGCAACACAAAUAGAUUUAGAGUGAAGUCAAAGAAAGACCAAUAUUACAUGCUAUCACUUAUAUGUGAAAUCUAAAAAAUAGCAAAGGAGUUCCUACUGUGGCGCUGGGUGUUGAGAUCCAGUAUUGCUGGAGCUGUGGCACAGGUCACAGAUGCAACUUCAAUUUAAUCCCUGGCUUAGGAACUUCCAUAUGCUGUGGAUGCAGCCAUUAAAAAAACCAAAAAAACAUAUAUAUAUAUGAACUUAUUUACAAAAUAGAAACAGAGUCACAAACCUAGAAAACAAAUAUAUGGUUACCAAAGGGGAGGGAUAAACUGGGAGUAUGGGAUUAACAGAUGUGUACAACCAUGUAUAAAAGAUCAACAACAAGGAUUUAGUGUGGACCACAGGGAACUGUAUUCAAUAUCUUACGGUGUUCCCGUCGUGGCUCAGCAGAAAUGAAUCUGACUAGCAUCCAUGAGGAUACAGGUUUGAUCCCUGGCCUUUCUUGCUCAGUGGGUUAAGGAUCCAGCGCUGCUGUGAGCUAUGGUGUAGGUUGCAGAUGCAGCUUGGAUCUGGUGUUGCUGUGGCUGUGGUGUAGGCUAGUAGCUACAGCUCUGAUUUGACCCCUAGUCUGGAACCUCCAUAUGCCACGAGUAUGGCCCUAACAAGACAAAAAAAGAUAUAUAUCUAUGUAUAGAUAUAUCUUGUAAUAAACGGUAAUGGAAAACAAUUAAAAAAAAAAAAAAGAAACCACUUUGCUGUACACUUGAAACCAACAGAACGUUGUAAAUCAACUAUGUCAAUUUUAAAAAGAAAAAGUGGCCUGGACCCUGACGCAUACUUAUGCUUGAACUAGGUAAGAGAGAAAUAAAGCUUAUUUAAACUUUAUUAUUUUGAACCUAA